rfam:Cyanothece sp. PCC 7425, complete genome.
GGUCAAGCUACAAAGGGCUUAUGGUGGAUACCUAGGCACACAGAGGCGAAGAAGGACGCGGUUACCGGCGAAACGCUUCGGGGAGCUGGAAGCGAGCAUUGAUCCGAAGAUAUCCGAAUGGGGCAACCCCAAGUACUCUCUGCUGAAUCCAUAGGCAGAGAAGAGCGAACCUGGCGAAUUGAAACAUCUUAGUAGCCGGAGGAAGAGAAAGAAAACUCGAUUCCCUUAGUAGCGGCGAGCGAAGCGGGAAGAGCCUAAACCGACGGUUUUUACUGUCGGGGUUGUGGGACAGCAACGUGGAUUGUAGAGAUUAGACGAAGCAUUGGAAUGAUGCACCAGAGAAGGUGAAAGUCCUGUAGUCGACAGUCAAAACAACCUAGCUGGAUCCCGAGUAGUUCGGGGCACGUGGAAUCCCGGAUGAAUCAGCGAGGACCACCUCGUAAGGCUAAAUACUCCUGUGUGACCGAUAGUGAACCAGUACCGCGAGGGAAAGGUGAAAAGAACCCCGAGAGGGGAGUGAAAUAGAACAUGAAACCAUAAGCUUACAAGCAAUCGAAGCACGAUUUAACGUGUGACGGUGUGCCUGUUGAAGAAUGAGCCGGCGACUUAUAGGGUGUGGCAGGUUAAGACGGGAAUGUCGAAGCCAAAGCGAAAGCGAGUCCUAACUGGGCGUUAGUCACACUUUAUAGACCCGAACCCGGGUGAUCUAACCAUGGCCAGGAUGAAGCUUGGGUAACACCAAGUGGAGGUCCGAACCGACCGAUGUUGAAAAAUCGGCGGAUGAGCUGUGGUUAGGGGUGAAAUGCCAAUCGAACCCGGAGCUAGCUGGUUCUCCCCGAAAUAUGUUGAGGCAUAGCGGUUGAGGUUAUAUCCAGGGGGUAAAGCACUGUUUCGGUGCGGGCUGCGAGAGCGGUACCAAAUCGAGACAAACUCUGAAUACCUGGUGCAUACUCAGCCAGUCAGACGGUGGGGGAUAAGCUUCAUCGUCAAGAGGGAAACAGCCCAGACCACCAGCUAAGGUCCCCAAAUCACGACUAAGUGAUAAAGGAGGUGGGAGUGCAUAGACAACCAGGAGGUUUGCCUAGAAGCAGCCAUCCUUAAAAGAGUGCGUAAUAGCUCACUGGUCAAGUGCUCCUGCGCCGAAAAUGAACGGGGCUAAGUCGUGUACCGAAGCUGUGGGAUUUGUAUAAAUCGGUAGGGGAGCGUUCCGCGUUAGGUUGAAGUAUCAGCGAGAGCAGGUAUGGACGAAGCGGAAGUGAGAAUGUCGGCUUGAGUAGCGCAAACAUUGGUGAGAAUCCAAUGCCCCGAAAAUCCAAGGUUUCCUCCGCAAGGCUCGUCCACGGAGGGUUAGCCGGGACCUAAGGCGAGGCCGAGAGGCGUAGUCGAUGGACACAGGGUUAAUAUUCCCUGGCUGUUGAGUGGGAGCAUGGUGGGGACGCAUGAAAGCUAGCCAUACCCUGAUUGGAUUGGGAGGAGUCUACGGACUCCGUUUGGUGAAGGAUAGUGCCAAGAAAAGCCAACCAUGUGUUGAAAACUCAAUACCCGUACCCGAAACCGACACAGGUGGAUGGGUUGAGAAUACCAAGGGGCGCGAGAUAACUCUCUCUAAGGAACUCGGCAAAAUGGCCCCGUAACUUCGGGAGAAGGGGUGCCACCGAGAGGUGGUCGCAGUGAAGAGAUCCAGGCGACUGUUUACCAAAAACACAGGUCUCUGCAAAGUCGUAAGACGACGUAUAGGGGCUGACGCCUGCCCAGUGCCGGAAGGUUAAGGAAGUUGGUUAGGGUAACCGAAGCUAGCGACCGAAGCCCCGGUGAACGGCGGCCGUAACUAUAACGGUCCUAAGGUAGCGAAAUUCCUUGUCGGGUAAGUUCCGACCCGCACGAAAGGCGUAACGAUCUGGAUGCUGUCUCGGAGAGAGGCUCGGCGAAAUAGGAGUGUCUGUGAAGAUACGGACUACCUGCACCUGGACAGAAAGACCCUAUGAAGCUUUACUGUAGCCUGGAAUUGGGUUCGGGCUUCGCUUGCGCAGGAUAGGUGGGAGGCUUUGAAGUAUUCCUUGUGGGGGAUAUGGAGCCAUCGGUGAGAUACCACUCUGGCGAGGCUAGAAUUCUAACCCUUACCCGUGAGCCGGGAAGGGAACAGUUUCAGGUGGGCAGUUUGACUGGGGCGGUCGCCUCCUAAAUGGUAACGGAGGCGCGCAAAGGUUCCCUCAGGCUGGUCGGAAAUCAGCCAAAGAGUGUAAAGGCAUAAGGGAGCUUGACUGCGAGACCUACAAGUCGAGCAGGGACGAAAGUCGGCCUUAGUGAUCCGACGGCACUGUGUGGAAGGGCCGUCGCUCAACGGAUAAAAGUUACUCUAGGGAUAACAGGCUGAUCUCCCCCAAGAGUUCACAUCGACGGGGAGGUUUGGCACCUCGAUGUCGGCUCAUCGCAACCUGGGGCGGUAGUACGUCCCAAGGGUUGGGCUGUUCGCCCAUUAAAGCGGUACGUGAGCUGGGUUCAGAACGUCGUGAGACAGUUCGGUCCAUAUCCGGUGCAGGCGCAAGAGUAUUGAGAGGAGCCUUCCUUAGUACGAGAGGACCGGGAAGGACGCACCGCUGGUGUACCUGUUAUCGUGCCAACGGUAAACGCAGGGUAGCCAUGUGCGGAGUGGAUAACCGCUGAAAGCAUCUAAGUGGGAAGCCCACCUCAAGAUGAGUACUCUCACAGCAGAAGCUGGUAAGGUCACCCGUAGACGACGGGUUAAUAGGUGGUAGAUGGAAGUCUAGUAAUGGAUGAAGUCGAGCCGUACUAAUAGACCGAGGGCUUGACCUC